rnacentral:misc_RNA from 1 species
GAUGAAGAACGCAGCGAAAUGCGAUAAGUAGUGUGAAUUGCAGAAUUCAGUGAAUCAUCGAAUCUUUGAACGCACAUUGCGCCCCUUGGUAUUCCAUGGGGCAUGCCUGUUCGAGCGUCAUUUGUACCUUCAAGCUCUGCUUGGUGUUGGGUGUUUGUCUCGCCUCUGCGUGUAGACUCGCCUCAAAACAAUUGGCAGCCGGCGUAUUGAUUUCGGAGCGCAGUACAUCUCGCGCUUUGCACUCAUAACGACGACGUCCAAAAGUACAUUUUUACACUCUUGACCUCGGAUCAGGUAGGGAUACCCGCUGAACUUAAGCAUAUCAAUAGCGGAGGA